rnacentral:rRNA from 1 species
UACGGAGGGAGCUAGCGUUGUUCGGAAUUACUGGGCGUAAAGCGCACGUAGGCGGCUUUGUAAGUUAGAGGUGAAAGCCCGGAGCUCAACUCCAGAACUGCCUUUAAAACUGCAUCGCUUGAAUCCAGGAGAGGUGAGUGGAAUUCCGAGUGUAGAGGUGAAAUUCGUAGAUAUUCGGAAGAACACCAGUGGCGAAGGCGGCUCACUGGACUGGUAUUGACGCUGAUGUGCGAAAGCGUGGGGAGCAAACAGG